UGGAGUGUGGCUCAGGGGGAGGGAGACUGUCUGGAAAGCACAGGCCCUGGGUUCAAGACCCAGCACUGCAC
rnacentral:tRNA from 1 species